CUCAAAUUUCUGGCUCUGGUAAGUGGACAAGAACAAAACAUCAUGUAGACAGUAAAAUAAAAGAAUCAUACACUCUUAAGAAAGUUAUUCAACCAUCUCUUUGUAAAUGUUCCAACUCUUUGAUCAAUAAAUUUGAUAUUCAAUUAAAGAAAAGGUUCUUGAAAUCUAAAAGCCAUGCUCGUGUCGCUUCAGUCCUUGUUUUAGUGCAGAACUGCAGACCUUCCACUGAGGGAAGUAUAAACUGCCUAGAUAACUUUGAUCAAAUCUCCUUCCACGGGCUUCUAGUCGACUAUCUUCCCUAGUGGAAACAGUUUCUCCUGUGAAGGAAGAGAUAAGUUGUUUAUAUAUUCAUCAACUAAGUUGUUAUAUUUCAUUAACAAAAGGUUUCCUCUUUCUCUGCCUCGAAAGUAUUCUUCUCCCUUCUAUCUCUUCUCUACCACCUUUCCAAAAUACUUGUCUUCAUAUUGCUAACACCAGAGGUUUCCCCCUUAAUGGAUGUGCCAAGUACACAGGACUUGUACCACGUUUCAAAGGAACCAUUGAUCUUGAUUGGUAAAUUACAACAGGUCAGGUAGCAACUUUAGUGAAUGCUCACCGGUCACAAGAAGCAAGUCAGAGAGAAGUUGCUAAAAUAAAGACCACUCUCUUGCACUUGAUCUGCUAUACAAUCACAAAAAAAAAAAAAACUAAUCACACUGCAGAGUAUAAAUAUUCAAUAGACAUCUCAACGUGUUGCCAUCGACAUGGAAAGCCUAACCAAACAAAACAACAUCCACACCAAAGGAAAAACAAACCUGACAGUUUUUCAACAGAAGUUAAGAUCCUUUUUUUUUUAGAAAAGAAGUUAAGAACUUGUAAGAAAUAAAAAGAGGAUAUGUUAAACUAACGAAAGAAAGGGGCAGUAAAUUAAAUAAUUAGCGAAUUACAGAGAAAUAGCAAUACUUUAAAAAUUAUCUGCAGCGGGGUCGGAGAGAGAUAAGAAGCACAGAGGAGGAUCAGAGACAACUUGAAACAAAUCUGAAAGCUAUAUCUUUGACAAAAAAUUCUGAAUCCUACACAAUCUUUUUCAAUAUAUAAACUUCUGAAAAGAUACGACUCUUAAGUGAAAGAUGAUGAAGUUUCCACUGAAACCCUGAAUGUGAAAA
rnacentral:lncRNA from 1 species